UGCACUUUGCAAUUAAUUUAAACUAAAAGUAAAUAAAAUUUGCAUUAAAAUUUUAAAAUAACAAUUUUGUGUAAUAACUAAUAAAAAAAAAUAUUAGAAUGACAUUUAAUAUUACAGAAAUUGGUGUCACUACAUCCAAUCUCACUUCUAAUUCACCUUAUACCCUCAACUUCAGAAACCAUAAUCUCUGACCUUUUUACCCCUACUAGCUAUAGCCCCAAAGUCUCAGACCCUCUGCGCUUCAUGUCAGUGGACUCAUCCUUUACACAUGGGUCAAUGAUAUGUCUCUGCGUUUUUCCAAAAACAUAUGAACAAUAAAAACCCAAGAAGAGAAGAAGAAAAUAAAAUAGGUAUGAGCUAUUUUUCUCUUCUCUCUUGUCAUGUUUGUAUACUCUUACAUCAGUUACUAUUGCUCGGCUUUGCCCAGAGACUGUGGUGGUGUUUUUAGUUUUCAAAGACCGUAGAUGAUGAGAUAAUGCAAUGGCCGUCGAUGACGGCAUCAUUGAUCAGAUUGUCAUAAAGAGAUAAUGCGAAGGUCAGAAAGCUUUGGCGAUAAUAUGAUUGGUAGGAUUGUACAUUGCAAUUAACCUUGUUAUUUUAUUAUUUAACACAGCCAUAACUUGUUUACUCGUUAGAUACGACGAUAUCAGAUAAUAAUGGUAUUAGCGAUGUAGCUAGUCUAUUAACAAAUAAUAUUAGUAACUUCUUGUUAUAUUAUUGUUAAAUAUGAUCACAACAAAAUUUAUUUGGAUGUUCGCGUAUAUGGAUGUGAAAUUUCUUUUGGAUGACACAUAAGGAGAUUGGUGCAAGGUACAUGAUUUGGGUGCUAAAUGAAGAAGAAGAUGGCUUGAUUGAUAACAUAGUUCCCGGUGAUUGAUGAAGGAUGUGUUUCUGGGAAUUUGAUUCGUAUGAAAAUUAAAUGAAAGCAAGAAGAAAAAGAAGCAAAAGAAAAAGAAGAUAAAGACAACGCGCUGAUGGAGCAGUGUUUGAAAAAGUCAGUUGACCACUAGCGUUAUGUUUUUUUGUAGCAUAUAUCUAAACAUGUUAACUAUUAAUUUAAAUGAUGAGUGAAAGGAUGAACAUAUAUGUUGAGUUUUUAUUAAAACUGUGUAUGAGUAGUAGAACUUCUCAGCUAUGUGUGAGUAAUGGUGAUGUGGAGACAUGAAGAUUAGCCUUUCUCAUAAUAUGACUGUUAAAAUUGCA